GACGAACGCUGGCGGCGUGCUUAACACAUGCAAGUCGAACGGAAAGGCCCUGCUUUUGUGGGGUGCUCGAGUGGCGAACGGGUGAGUAACACGUGAGUAACCUGCCCUUGACUUUGGGAUAACUUCAGGAAACUGGGGCUAAUACCGGAUAGGAGCUCCUGCUGCAUGGUGGGGGUUGGAAAGUUUCGGCGGUUGGGGAUGGACUCGCGGCUUAUCAGCUUGUUGGUGGGGUAGUGGCUUACCAAGGCUUUGACGGGUAGCCCGCCUGAGAGCGUGACCGGCCACAUUGGGACUGCGAUACGGCGCAGACUCCUACGGGAGGCAGCAGUGGGAAAUAUUACACAGCGGGCGGGAGUCUGAUGCGGAAACGCCGCGUGCGGGAUGACGGCCUUCGGGUUGUAAACCGCUUUCGCCUGUGACGAAGCGUGAGUGACGGUAAUGGGUAAAGAAGCACCGGCUAACUACGUG
rnacentral:rRNA from 1 species